UACGGAGGGUGCAAGCGUUACUCGGAAUUACUGGGCGUAAAGGACGCGUAGGCGGUUUAGAAAGUCAGAUGUGAAAGCCUGUGGCUUAACCAUAGAACUGCAUCUGAAACUCCUAGACUAGAGUGAGGGAGAGGUCAGUGGAAUUAGUGGUGUAGGGGUAAAAUCCGUAGAGAUCACUAGGAAUACUCAUAGCGAAGGCGACUGACUGGAACUUUACUGACGCUGAGGCGUGAAAGCGUGGGGAGCAAACAGGAUUAGAUACCCCGGUAGUCC
rnacentral:rRNA from 1 species